GGCUGUAGCUCAGUGGUAGAACAUCUGCUUUACAUGCAGAAGGUCCAUGGUUCAACCCCCCAUUUCUCCAUGAAGGGCUG